CAAUUCAUAACUAUUCUUUGUCUUAACAUUUGCUGUUAUACAGUGGCCAUUUUGAGAGUAAACUUAUGCUGGAAUAUAGGAAAUUACUAUUUUAAAGUAAGUUCCAAAGUGGUGUGCGGUGUGUUAGACUGGAGCCCUGCAAGCAUGAUAUUCACUUCUCUUUUCCUUUAAGGGCAGCAAUUUUAAAUCCUGACAAAACAGCGUUGCUUAUACAAGAUAUCUUCAGUAAGCACUUGUCAGCGUUUCUUAUGUUCCUGAAUAUCUUGUAGGAUAACCACCAUUUCAUCUUCACGUAUAAAAUUAAAAUACAGAAAAUAUUAAAAAGGAAAAAUUGAAAGAUGUUUGUGACGGUCCCUGUUCUUAGUUCUGCAUGUUGUUAGCCUGUAGCUUCUCAGGCAAUCCUAUCUGAAAGCAACAUUCUGAUUGCAUCAUAAUGAGGAUCAUAAGCUUGACUGAUGAGUAUUAACUUCUGAGCCUGUGUAGUAAAAGCUGGCUACUAAGCCCACAGGCAAAGCACCAAAUCCUCACCCAUGAUCACUUUCUCAGAAAAACAAAGUCUAUUGGGCAAGGCUUCAAAGGGCAAGGCUUCACGUCUUAAAGGUUCCACAGUCUUCUAAAACAGCACCCUAGUUAAAGACCAGUUCUUCAAACACAUGAAGCUAUGGGAGGAACACUGAGAAACAUUCUCUUCAGAUAACUUGUGAUGCACACCAAAUGAUGCUGGUA
rnacentral:sRNA from 1 species